rnacentral:rRNA from 1 species
UUCCUACGGGCGGCUGCAGUGAGGAAUUUUGCGCAAUGGGGGGAACCCUGACGCAGCAACGCCGCGUGAGUGAAGAAGGCUUUCGGGUCGUAAAGCUCUGUCAAGAGGGAAGAAAGUGGGCUAUGGUAAUACUGUAAUCUAUUGACGGUACCUCUGAAGGAAGCACCGGCUAACUCCGUGCCAGCAGCCGCGGUAAUACGGGGGGUGCAAGCGUUAUUCGGAUUUAUUGGGCGUAAAGAGCGCGUAGGCGGUGUAUCAAGUCAGAUGUGAAAGCCCUGGGCUCAACCUGGGAAGUGCAUUUGAAACUAGUAGACUUGAGUAUGGGAGAGGGGAGUGGAAUUCCUGGUGUAGAGGUGAAAUUCGUAGAUAUCAGGAGGAACACCGGUGGCGAAGGCGACUUCCUGGACCAAUACUGACGCUGAGGCGCGAAGGCGUGGGGAGCAAACAGGAUUAGAUACCCGGGUAGUCG